AUAGCCUUUCGUGUGCGAUUCUGUGGAAGUUUGAAGGAAGCUUUAACACCUUCAUGCUUUGCAUAUUCGUGCUCUUGGGUGUACUUUGCCCGUGUGGUUGGUUAACAUCAAUUUCGGGCACCAUAAAAUGACUGGAGGAAUGUAGCUUUGAUCUUGUAUUGAAGUGUUAUAGCCUUCGGUAGAUGUGGUGAUCGAGAUUGAGGAUUGCAACGGAUACCUUUCGGGGCUACCUGUCUGAUCUCUGAUCGUUGCUUUGGUGCUGAAAGCGUGCUUAUAGUUAUCAAAGUCGAUGGUCAAUAGGUUAGAAUGGGUUAAAUUCGUUAAGGAUGUUGACGUAAUGGCUUU
rnacentral:rRNA from 1 species